GCCGGUGUAGCUCAGUGGUUAGAGCGGCGGUCUCAUAAUCCGCAGGUCGAAGGUUCAAAUCCUUCCGCCGGCACCA
rnacentral:tRNA from 1 species